rnacentral:rRNA from 1 species
GAUGAACGCUGGCGGCGUGCCUAAUACAUGCAAGUCGAGCGAACGGACGAGAAGCUUGCUUCUCUGAUGUUAGCGGCGGACGGGUGAGUAACACGUGGAUAACCUACCUAUAAGACUGGGAUAACUUCGGGAAACCGUAGCUAAUACCGGAUAAUAUUUUGAACCGCAUGGUUCAAAAGUGAAAGACGGUCUUGCUGUCACUUAUAGAUGGAUCCGCGCUGCAUUAGCUAGUUGGUAAGGUAACGGCUUACCAAGGCAACGAUGCGUAGCCGACCUGAGAGGGUGAUCGGCCACACUGGAACUGAGACACGGUCCAGACUCCUACGGGAGGCAGCAGUAGGGAAUCUUCCGCAAUGGGCGAAAGCCUGACGGAGCAACGCCGCGUGAGUGAUGAAGGUCUUCGGAUAGUAAAACUCUGUUAUUAGGGAAGAACAUAUGUGUAAGUAACUGUGCACAUCUUGACGGUACCUAAUCAGAAAGCCACGGCUAACUACGUG